rnacentral:piRNA from 1 species
UGGUCUCCUUUGAGCUCUUCCUGGCCA